UACAGAGGGGGCAAGCGUUGUUCGGAAUUACUGGGCGUAAAGAGCGCGCAGGCGGUCGUUUAAGUCGAAUGUGAAAGCCCCCGGCUCAACUGGGGAGGGUCACUCGAUACUGAUCGACUCGAAGGCAGGAGAGGGUAGUGGAAUUCCCGGUGUAGUGGUGAAAUGCGUAGGUAUCGGGAGGAACACCAGUGGCGAAGGCGACUACCUGGCCUGUUCUUGACGCUGAGGCGCGAAAGCUAGGGGAGCAAACGGG
rnacentral:rRNA from 1 species